GACAGAGGGGGCGAGCGUUGUCCGGAGUCACUGGGCGUAAAGCGCGCGCAGGCGGCAACCUAAGUGUCGUGUGAAAGCCCCCGGCUCAACCGGGGGAGGCCAUGGCAAACUGGGUCGCUCGAGCUGCGGAGAGGCCCCUCGAAUUGCCGGUGUAGCGGUGAAAUGCGUAGAGAUCGGCAGGAAGACCAAGGGGGAAUACAGGGGGAUGGCCGCACGCUGACGCUGAGGCGCGACAUCGUGGGGAGCAAACCGG
rnacentral:rRNA from 1 species